GAUGAAGAACGCAGCGAAAUGCGAUAAGUAAUGUGAAUUGCAGAAUUCAGUGAAUCAUCGAAUCUUUGAACGCACAUUGCGCCCCCUGGUAUUCCGGGGGGCAUGCCUGUUCGAGCGUCAUUUCACCACUCAAGCCUCGCUUGGUAUUGGGCAACGCGGUCCGCCGCGUGCCUCAAAUCGACCGGCUGGGUCUUCUGUCCCCUAAGCGUUGUGGAAACUAUUCGCUAAAGGGUGUUCGGGAGGCUACGCCGUAAAACAACCCCAUUUCUAAGGUUGACCUCGGAUCAGGUAGGGAUACCCGCUGAACUAAAGCAUAUCAAUAAGCGGAGGA
rnacentral:misc_RNA from 1 species